rnacentral:lncRNA from 1 species
UGUCAGGUCAUGUACCCAUCCCUGAACCAAUCACUGUGGCAGAGGACUGGAAACCUCUGACUGUCCAGGGCAUGGUCAUGAGCUCGUCCCCUAAAUUGCUUACACUUUGGAGGUGGCACAUGAGUACAAUGAACUAUAAUACCAGGCAAAUAAUUUCAAAGCCUGUAAUAGCAGCUCACAUAAUAUACUGUUGAAAUGCAAAGGAAGCAAUGAUUAACUGCUACUGGGG